UGUGGUAUAACUCAGUGGCAGAGCACUUGCCUAGCAUGUGCAAGUUCCUGGGUUCAAUACCCAGUAUAUAA
rnacentral:tRNA from 1 species